AGGAAAUAGAUACCCGGGUAGUCCACGCCGUAAACUAUGGAUGCUAGCUGUUAUGAGUAUCGACCCUCGUAGUAGCGUAGCUAACGCGUUAAGCAUCCCGCCUGUGGAGUACGGUCGCAAGACUAAAACAUAAAGGAAUUGACGGGGACCCGCACAAGCGGUGGAGCGUGUUGUUUAAUUCGAUGGUAAGCGAAGAACCUUACCCAGGCUUGACAUCCUGCCAAGGUCUCCGAAAGGAGAUUGUGCCUUCGGGCCGCAGUGACAGGUGAUGCAUGGCCGUCGUCAGCUCGUGUCGUGAGAUGUUUGGUUAAGUCCAUCAACGAGCGCAACCCUUAUAGUUAGUUGUAUUUCUCUAGCUAGACUGCCCUGGUAACAGGGAGGAAGGGGGGGAUGAUGUCAGGUCAGUAUUUCCCUUACGUCUGGGGCUACAAACACGCUACAAUGGCCGGUACAAAGGGCUGCCAACCCGCGAGGGGGAGCAAAUCCCAUCAAAGCCGGUCUCAGUUCGGAUAAGAGGCUGAAACUCGCCUCUUUGAAGCUGGAAUC
rnacentral:rRNA from 1 species